CUAUGUUCUAUGAGUCUUUGCUUUAGCGAUCUCAUGGUGACCCCUAUAUAGACACUUUCUUCGUAGGUGGUAUUGUCUUUUAUGGGUAUUUUAUGUACUCCCGCUUUUCGUUCAGGUUUCGUUUCAUCGUUCUCAUUACGCAGUUGGUUGUACAGUGUGGGGUACCUUCUAUAAGUAAUUUUUUUGUUCGCAUUAUGUGCUGCUUUCUUGAUUGCUUUGGACGUUUUCAUCGCGUAAGGUACAGUUUCGUAUUUUGUGGCUUCUUUCGGCAUGGCGGUUUUGUUUGUGAUGUUUUGUUUCAUUUCAAGGAAAAUCCUCAUUAAGGUGUUCUUGGAGUACCCGUGUGUUCUACCUAUAUUUAGGAUGUACUCUAUCUCGUUGUUCAUAUCCUCUUGCUUGUCUAUGUACAAGAUGGUCCUUUUGAAGUAGUACUUCAUACUUGUAUAAGAUUAUUUUUAAAUAAUGAGGCAUUUCUUCUGAAGGUAUCAGCCCAAACCUGGUUUGCUGCAGAAAAAUUGUAGAUGUGGGACUAAUUAAAUCUGGAUUAUCCAAGAUUUAGUUGUUUAGUGGUUGGUAAGCAGCUAUUUUACAACAUAACUUAUGUGCUUAGUCUUUAAUAUAAGUGUUACAUCAUUAUGACAUACUAAUACUAUAUAACUUAUGCU
rnacentral:lncRNA from 1 species